ACACUGUACGACUCAAUAAAACUCUGUUGUGAUGUGUACUGUUGCCCGGAGCUACACAUGUCCAAUUAAUCUACUUGUCUGUGGCGUAUUCUUAAUCCUAGCAUUCACCCACCCCAACCUUCAAUCAACGCACCUGUUGGAAGGAACAAACUGUUCAUCGGAGACAGGAUACACAUGGCUGUGGUCCAACAUCAGAUUUCUUGGGUUCAGCUUCAGUUUUCCGAUAUGUUCACUGUAAUUCAGAUGUGAUUUUGGUUUGGUUUUUUUUUCAUCUGCGCUGGUUUUUGGACACCUGGCUUAUUUAUGAUGGGGUGUAAUUUUGUGUUUCUUGACGUCUAUUUAAAACGUCAACUCGUGGUUUAAUUGCCAGAACCUUUGCUUCGGUGCGCUACUGAAUUGAGAUUUCACUGGUACUGUCCUCUUGAGACAAGUGUAAAUAUCGAUGAGUUCUUGGAAAUCCUUCGUCAAUGUUAAAUUUGUAGCACAAGGAGUGUGAUACAUCUUGGUUGAACAUUAUUGGUUAUGCAUUGAUGAAAUGUUGAUGAAAUGUAAUUAACAUGUGGACUGGUCAUAAGGUCAUAAGGGAUAGGAGUGGAAUUAGGCCAUUCAGCCCAUCAAGUCUACGCCUUUCAAUCAUGGCUGAUCUAUCUCUCCCUCCUAACCCUUUGCCUUCUCCCCAUAACCUCAUAACAAAUCAAGAAUCUAUCUAUCUCUGCAUUAAAAAUAUCAACUGACUUGGCCUCCACUGCAAAGAAUUCCACACAUAGACCAGAGGAUGACAGACUAAAUACUCCUUCCAAAAAGAAUGUCCUUUAAUUCUGAGGCUGUGUCCUCUGGUCCUAGACUCUCCCACUAGUGGAAACAUCCACUCUAUCCAAGCCUUUCACUAUUGUGUUCGUUCUAAUGAGGUCCCCCUUCAUUCUUCUGAACUCCAGCGAGUACAGGCCACAAUACACAAUACACAAUACAAUACAAUUUAUUUGUCAUAGUGGUUGAAAUGAAAUGUUGUUUCUGCAGUCAUACACACAAGAAAGACCCAAGACACAACACAAUUUACACAAACAUCCAUCACAGCGCAUCUGCUCCUCGCUGUGAUGGAAGGCAAAGACUUAUCUCUCCCCUGCACUCCCCAUUCCCCUCCCAAUGUCAGAGUCAAAGCCCCCGGCGGGCGAUGGUAAUUGUCCCGUGGCCAUUAACACCGCGCUGGGUGAUGCAAGGCCACGCUCCGGGUCUUGGUGUUGGAGCCCCCGGCGGGCGCUAGCAAAGUCCCGCAGCCGUUCCAAGCCGCUCGGGGCGGCGAUGUAAGGCCCCGCUCCAGGUAAUCUUCAACCCUGCAACUCGGGCGGGUGUAGUCGCCGUUGGGGAAGCCCCGAAAAGCGUUCUCCCAGCAGGGACCCGCGGGCUCCCGGUGUCACUGUCCACCAGACCUGCGGUUGGAGCCUCCGAAUCCCCGGGGUCGGGUCGCAGCAGCGCGCCACCUCCGCUCCUCCCGCUCCGAACUCGGCCAGCUCUACGAUGGUGAGUAGGUCCGCAGGCUCUGCGACUGGAGCCCCAGGUCGUUCCUGCUGGAGGCCGCUCCACAGUGCUAGGCUCCAACGACAACGGAGACCCGACAGGGAAAAGGUCGGGUUCUCUGUGCAGGGGAUAGAUUUUUUAAAGUUUCCCCCAACCCCCGCCCCCCACACACACACACAUACACAAAAAAAUAAAUAAAAACUACAUUCAAACGAGACAAAAAAUAAUUAACAAUACAGACGGACUGCAGAGGCCACUGCCACGUGAGUCGUGCCGCCCACUGCCGACAAACGCUCAUCGUAGUUAAACCUGCUCAUUCCUGGUGGGUUUUCUAUUGGCGCCACUGUGGAACCGUUCACAAACUUGUGUCAAAGGUUUAUUGAUCUUGGGUAAACUUCUGGGAUGUAGCAUUUAUAUGUUUUUCUUUAAAAAUGUAUAUUUUUUACUUGAAUGCUUUCAACAAAAAAAGUGGAUGGAUUUCUAUAUUUUUCCAGAAUGUUGUUAGUCAUACCUGUAAAUGCCUUUCAACAUACGCUAGAUGCAGGAAACAUGUUCCUGAUGUUCGGGGAGUCCAGAACCAGGGGACACUUAUAUAAGAAUAAGGCCUUUUAGAAUGAAGUUGACCUGCGCGGGUUUUCUCUGAGAUCUUUGGUUUCCUCCCACAUCCCAAAGCCGUACAGGUUUGUAGGUUAAUUUGGCUUGAUUAAUUGGCCUGAUAAAGGUAUUGGCCUGAUAACAGUAUUCCGGUAAACCUCCUCUGUGUCUUCAUCAAAACCUCAAAACAUCCUUCCUGUAAUGGGGUCAUCAGAAUCCUCACAUAAUACUCCAAAUGUAGCCCGACCAAAGUUGUAUAAAGCUGUAACACGACUUCCUGACUCUUAUACUGACCGAUGAAGGCAAGCACAUCAUAGGUGGUCACGGUGGCGCAGCGGUAGAGUUACUGCCUUACAGCGAAUGCAGCACCGGAGACCAGGGUUCGAUCCCAACUACGGGUGCUCUCUGCACGGAGUCUGUUCCUUCUCCCCGUGACCUGCGCGGGUUUUCUCUGAGAUCUUCGGUUUCCUCCCACACUCAAAAGACGUACAGGCUUGUAGGUUAAUUGGCUUGGUGUAAAUGUAAAAAUUGUCCCGAGUGGGUGUGGGAUAGUGUUAAUGUGUGUGGAUCGCGGGUCGGAGCGGACCCAGUGGGCCGAAGGGCCUGUUUCCGUGCUGUAUCUCUAUACUAAACUAAAUGAGGAAAGACUUUUUCACCCUAAGAGUUGUCAAUUUGUACAAUUCUCUGUCUCAGAAGGCAGUGGAGGCCAAUUCACUGGAUGCAUUCAAAAGAGAGUUAGAUAGAGCUCUUAGAGCUAGCGGAGUCAAGGGAUAUGGGGAGAAGGCAGGAACGGGGUACUGAUUGUGGAUGAUCAGCCAUGAUCACAUUGAAUGGUGGUGUUGGCUCGAAGGGCCAAAUGGCCUCCUCCUGCACCCAUUGUCUAUGUAUCUAUGUGUAUACACAGGAGUUCAUCUGGAACAGAGGCAGGGACUAUUGCAAGGUUUAAGAACAUUUAGAUGUGUGGAUGGAUAGGACAGAUUCAGAGGGAUAUGGGCCAAACUCAGGCAGGUGGGGCUAGUGUAGAUGGGACAUGUUGGUCGACGUGGGCAAGUUGGGCUGAAGGACCUGUUUCCAUGCUGUAUGACUCUUUGACUCAAUGAUGGAUAACCUGAAGCAUGAGUUUGAAUCUCACCACAUCCACUGUGGAAACGCAACACACUUGAUGCCGUGGAACCUUUCCCCUGGUACAGUGUUGAUGCAGUCAGUCCUAUAACUGAGGUCCUGAACUCCAGUGCUGCCUGUGUGGAGUUUGCACAGUCUCCCCCGGGAUUGGUUGGGUUUCCGACGGGCACCCCACUUUCUUCCUAUUCCCGCCCGAUUUCGGCCCGAAACGUCGCCUAUUUCCUUCGCUCCAUAGAUGCUGCUGCACCCGCUGAGUUUCUCCAGCACUUUUGUCUACCUUCGAUUUUCCAGCAUCUGCAGUUCCUCCUUAAACACCUGUUUCCGUGCUGUAUCUCUAAAUGUAACUAAACUAAAGAAAGGUAGAUCAGCCGUGAUUGAAUGGCUUAGUAGACUCGAUGGGCCGAAUGGCCUUAUUCUGCUUCUAUCACUUAUGAAAAUGCUGGAGUAACUCAGCGAGUCAGGUAGCAUCUCUGGAGAAAAGGGAUUGGUGACCAUUCCAGGUCUGAAGAAGGGUUCCGAUCACCCGUUCCUUUUCUCCAGAGACCCAUUGUGCUACUCCAGCAUUUGGAGUCUUACCUUUAGAAGGAGAGGAGAUUUGUACAGAAAUUAUGGAAUCUGCGUGGUCUUUACCUAGUACUGUUUUAACGUCCCUUCUAGACCCCUCCCGACGUUGAAUUGAAUAACUUGUAUCGCAAGUACUCCUUCUUCUUUCGUGUCCAUCUUCCGUGUUUCAAAUGUUGACCUCGCUGCCAUCGUUCGUCCUGAAAAGGGCGCAAACAUCCGGCGCCAAUCAGUGGGAGCCAUCACUUGUCGCAAUAGAUCAGUGGUUGGCAACCCUGUUCUGCAUAGGGACCGGGACUCAUGUCUGUGAGUGGAUGGCGGAACUCAUCUACCACGUGUACACAUGUAUCCCGCCCCUUCGAGGACUCCACCCGGAGCACUGAGCUCAAAUACUCACACUCGCUCGUCCCCGGCCUACGGACAACCCCGAUCCCGACAGCGAAGCCCAGACGCAGAAGGUGCAGGAUGCGAUACCACCAAAUCACCUUCCAGGUACCGGAGGUAGAAAAAAAAUGCUGGAGGAACUCACUCCAGCAUUUUUUUACUACCAUCGAUUUUUCAGCGUCUGCAGUUAUUUCUUAAACAUUUCAGGUACCGGAGAUGACGGAAGUCUGCGGGCCGGAUGAUUUCGGGUUACGGGCCGGAUUCGGCCCGGGGGCCACAGGUUGCCGACCCCUGCAAUAGAUGGUGGUGGUAGCAGAUUUAGCUCGGGAUACUUCCAGCUUCCAGCCCCCGCGACGUGGACACUUCUGCUAUGGGGCCACACGUACUUCACAUCAGGAGUUUUAUUGUCGGGUUUUAUCGUAUUGCACAAUUAAAUGUCCUCUGGUGCGGGCGAACUUUGGGUGUGUGAGUUGGUGUUUGCAUUAUUUCACGAUUUACAGGACAAAACUGGUGCGGUGAAGUGGCGGUCUCCGAUGUUUGAAGGCGUAAGAAGAUUGUUCCAAUAUUUAUUCAUGGCCUUUUAUAAUUGAUGGGAAUGGCAUCCAUCUUAAACUUGGUGGCACUUGCUAUGGGAAUAUGGUAGAUUGUCUGAAUGAAGAUACUGCACAUGGACAGCUUACGACUCUACAAAAUAAAGCAGUUUUGAAUUCUU